AUCAAGGAUAAUGAUGAGCACAAUGUAAUCAACAUUCUAUUCAUGUUCCUGUUUCUUACAGUAGUCAGAAAUGUGAUAGUACAAGUUUUUAUAUGUUUUGAGUGGUAUUUAUUUAUAUAUGACUGGUGUUACUGACUAACUGGAGACUCGGGGUGGAUUUGGGACAGGAAAAAGUGAAAGAAACACCGAAUGUAAAUUUCAGCAGGACGAGUAAAUUAUCAAAUUCUCCUACACCGAGGUCUCUAAUUGCCCCAACUAUAGUGCGUUUAUCAAGGCCUGAGGAAGUUGAAAAUGCAAGGAAGGAUCUUCCCAAUAGUAAUGGUGGAGCAGGGGAUAAUGGAGGCUGUUAAUGACCAUUCCACUGUUAUUAUAUGUGGAGAGACUGGGUGUGGUAAAACCACCCAAGUUCCACAGGUGGGUUUAUUAUCAUAUUAUUGUUGUUAUGCUUAUAUGCAUUUCAUAUUCUUGAUCCCUUGAAGCUCCUAAUUCUGCAUUUCGGUUGACAUGUUGCAGUUUCUUUUUGAAGCCGGCUUUGGUUCAAGCUUCUCUUGAGUCUGAAGUGGUAUAAUUGGUGUUACUCAACCUCGUUGUGUGGCAGUCCUUGCGACUGCUAAGCGAGUGGCAUAUGAGCUUGGUCUACAUUUAGGUAGAGAGGUCAGGUUUCAAGUUAGGUAUGGCAAAAGGGUCGGUGAAAGUUGCUCCAUCAAGUUCAUGACAGAUGGAAUAUUACCACGGGAACUUCAGGUUCUUUAACCAACCGAUCUUGUUAAUCUAUCAUAAUUUGAGCAACUAUGCAUCAAAUAAUACGUUUCUCUAUAUGGGUUUCUAUUAAGGUUGGGUUCUGUUUUCAUACUGAUACAUAUACGGUUUGGACGAUUGAACCAUUGAUUAGAACCAUUCAGUUUUUAGCUUCUCAGCUAAAUCAGAAAUUGUUUAGCCAUUUGAUUAUCCUUGACAACAUCUGAUCUGAAUUUUUUUUAGUCCGUAUAAUCCUUGAAGAAUGACCUAAAAUAUGGAUGGUUCCGAUCAUUGUAAAAUAUAUCCAUGGAUAGCCCUAGGAAGGACAUGCACUUUUCUUACAACAAUGACAUCCUUGACAUAGAAAAAUUCAAUUUAUAUAUGUAUGGGUUAGGAUCCUGGGACAAACUAUUUUACGCGUAAUUACGACAUUUGUCUACAAUUUGGGAAAUGUUUUACAUGAAUGGUUUUGAAGGGAACCUACAAAACAGAUGGUUUUAUAUAAUGGGAACACAUUAUGGGUUGAGCCAAACAUCAUGGUUCUCUUUUCUUAGAAAGAAAAUCCCUUUUAAGUUUUGACUAUUUGUACAUAUCUUAAGUCUUAAUAAAUCUCUCUCUCUCUCUCUCUCUCUCUCUCUCUCUCUCUCUCUCUCUCUCUCUCUCGUAUCUGGUUUCUCUCAUCUUAUCCAAAAACGAAAAAAGGAUAAAAAUGCUUUGACAAGCUGGAGUAUUAAUUUGAUAUGCAUAGCCAUUGGGCUUAAUGGACUGCUAGUGGGCGGUCAAUAGGGAAUCAUAUCAGUGCUGCCUUGGAUGUGUCUCAAGGCUUAGACGGGCAGUGUGUGGGUCGGUGUCUGAGGAUUCGUGUGAGGUUGGCACACAGUGCUCGUCCUAUAAAUUAUCAUAUUAAUACUGCAGCUUGUCAUUAAUGUCUUCAUUUUUUUCCUUUUUUGUUUGUUUUUGGGAUAAGAUGAGAGAAACCAGCUAGAUUUUUGGAGACUCUUCCCCUUUACUAGAAGUGCUUGUACUUGCACAAUUUAAUUUUGCAUCAAGGCACACAAAUGGGCCGGUUUUAUUCAGCCCUGAACUCAAUUUUUAUUAGUUUUGGUUUUGGUUUUCACUCUCUCUCAAUUGUACAAGUAUUGAUCAUUACGUCUUGGGAUCUGUUUCCAACUUCUUCUUCUUUUUUUGGUACAAAUCUUUUUUCAUGUCACCGUUCUUAUGAAAUUUUAUGGAAUUUAGUUAGAUUUAGUUAUCCUUGUCCAAUGUACUUAAACCAAAGCUCUUUAUUGUACAGAAUGACUUUUUGCUGAAGCGAUAUAAUUCUUGAUGAGGCUCAUGAGCGGAGCUUGAACACCGACAUUCUUAUCGGAAUGCUUUCACGUGUAAUUCGUGCUCGCGAGGUGAAGCUCCAUAGUGUUGAUCAUGAAAAAAUUUGUUAGUCAAGGUUCUUGAACCAUUUGUUGUACUCAUUUGCAUGUGAUGGCAGGAAAAAUUUGCAGAGCAGCAAUGGGAGGUGCUUUCGGGAAGAACUAUAAUUACUGGGCAACAGAUUUGUCUUUUGAAGCUUGUUCUGAUGAGUGCCACUUGCGAGUGGAGGACUUCAUGUCUGGUAGAAAGCUGUUUCGCAAUCCCCCGCCAGUUAUAGAAGUUCCCACCAGACAAUUUCCUGUAACCAUUUACUUUUCAAGCAGAACUAAGGAAGAGGAUUAUAUUGGGCAAGCAUGUAAAAAAGCCUUGGCAAUUCACAAGAGGCUGCCACGCGGGGGCGUACUUGUGUUCGUCACUGGGCAGAGGAAAGUAGAGUAUUUGUGUCGAAAGCUACAUAGAGUUUCAAAGGAACAGUUUAAAAAAACAACUGAAGGGGAUAUUAGGAGUGAUGUCACUGAAGUUUCUGAAAGAAGUUCUACUGAGGAAAUAGACAUGAAGGAGAUCAAUGAAGCAUUUGAGGUUCAUGGAAUUUGGCUGGCCAUCAAACUAACAGAUUUAGCUAUAAUGAUGAAGAUCAGUUUGAUAUAGAUGACGAUGAGUAGGAUGAUUCAUAUGAUUCAGAAACAGAGAAUGAACUGGAAUUUAUUGGUGACCAUGGCGACUCAUUGAUCCAAGCUAGUCUGGAAAUUGAUGGUGAUGUGGAAAAUCUUUUAGGAGAGGAAGGAGGCAUUACUGCACUGAAGCUUGAGACGCAAAAACUUCAUCUAACUUCAAUUCUGAUGAGAAACAACCAUUUUCAGUUACUCCAAAUGCUUGCUACACCAAUCCAAUCCUAGCAUGGGAAAAAAGAGUGGAGUUGAAGAGAAUACUUCUCCAGGUACAUUUCAUGUUCCUCCUCCUUAUGCCAUGCUGCAUGUGAAAGAUCAGCUUCAUGUCGUUGAAGAAGUCAGGGAAGGAGAACGGCUCGUUGUUGUGGCCACCAAUGUGGCUGAAACAUCUUUAACUAUACCUGGGAUAAAGUAUGUUGUAGAUACUGGAAGAGAGAAAGUGAAGAGCUACAAUUCCUUAAAUGGCAUGGAAAUAGAUGAAGUACAGUGGAUAAGUAAUGCAUCAGCUGCUCAACGUGCAGGAAGAGCUGGAAGAACCGAGCCUGGAUACUGUUACCAUCUGUAUUCUUCUGCAGUAUAUAGUAACAUAUUUCCUGACUUUUCUCUCGCCGAAAUAUCUAAAGUCCCUGUUGAUGGUGUUGUACUUUACAUGAA
rnacentral:lncRNA from 1 species